rnacentral:rRNA from 1 species
GCUUUGACAAUUACUUUGUAAUUGGGUAGCGGAGCGUUCUGUAAGCCUGUAAAGGUGAUGCGUAAGCAUUGCUGGAGGUAUCAGAAGUGCGAAUGCUGACAUGAGUAACGAUAAGAAAUGUGAAAGACAUUUCCGCCGAAAUCCUAAGGUUUCCUGCGUAAAGCUAAUCUGCGCAGGGUUAGUCGGCCCCUAAGGCGAGGGCGAAAGCCGUAGUCGAUGGGAAGCAGGUUAAUAUUCCUGCACCAGCUGGUAGUGACGGAUGAAGUAAAUUGUAAGUUCUUACUGGAUUGAGCUUGCAGUGAAUUUGUCCCUGGAAAUAGCUCCAGCAUUAGACCGUACCAAAACCGACACAGGUAGGAGGGUAGAGAAUACCAAGGCGCUUGAGAGAACUAUGUUGAAGGAACUCGGCAAAUUACACUUGUAACUUCGGGAUAAAAGUGACCUGCUAUUGGGCAACCAGUAGGAGGUGGCACAGAAGAGGGGGUAGCGACUGUUUACUAAAAACAUAGCACUAUGCAAAGUCGAAAGACGACGUAUAUGGUGUGACGCCUGCCCGGUGCCGGAAGGUUAAUAGGAGGGGUGCAAGCCCUGAAUUGAAGCCCCGGUGAACGGCGGCCGUAACUAUAACGGUCCUAAGGUAGCGAAAUUCCUUGUCGGGUAAGUUCCGACCUGCACGAAUGGCGUAACGAUUUCCCCACUGUCUCCAACAUAGACUCAGUGAAAUUGAAUUCUCGGUUAAGAUGCCGAGUAACCGUGGUUAGACGGAAAGACCCCGUGCACCUUUACUGCAGCUUUGUAUUGGUAUUAGGGAACAGAUGUGUAGCAUAGGUGGGAGACUUUGAAGGAGUGGCGCUAGCCAUUCUGGAGUCACUAGUGAAAUACCACUCUUCUGUUCCUUGAUGCCUAACCAUACACCGUUAUCCGGUGUUGGGACCAUGCAUGGUGGGCAGUUUGACUGGGGCGGUCGCCUCCCAAAGAGUAACGGAGGCGCGCGAUG